rnacentral:misc_RNA from 1 species
GAUGAAGAACGUAGCGAAAUGCGAUAACUAAUGUGAAUUGCAGAACUCAGUGAAUCAUCGAGUCUUUGAACGCACAUUGCGCCCCCUGGUAUUCCGGGGGGCAUGCCUGUCCGAGCGUCAUUGCUGCCCUCAAGCACGGCUUGUGUGUUGGGCUCCGUCCCCCCGGGGACGGGCCCGAAAGGCAGCGGCGGCACCGAGUCCGGUCCUCGAGCGUAUGGGGCUUUGUCACCCGCUCUGUAGGCCCGGCCGGCGCCAGCCGACAACCCAUCAUCCUUUUCAGGUUGACCUCGGAUCAGGUAGGGAUACCCGCUGAACUUAAGCAUAUCAAUAAGCGGAGGA